GUAUUCAUAAUGUUAAGCACUUGCUUACAUCAUAAAGAAAACAUUGCUUAUAUCAUUAAGAAAAUAUAGCUUAUAUCAUUGCAAAAAUGAUGCUUAUGUCAUUAAAGAUACAGAAAAAUGUUGCUGACGUCAUUUUAAGAGAUAUAUGUAUAUACAGCAGACAUUUUACCAUAAUACCAGAUUACCUAACUAUGUACCUGGCAUGUUUCAUUUUUAUCCACAGAAAAAGGUUUCUUGAUGAAAUUAAGUCUUCUUUCUUGGUGCCAAAAUGAAGCGUGAUAAACUUUUCACAUAUGACAUAUUCUGAGUCAGCCAUGUAUCAGGUAUAUAUGUAUGACAGCUUUUCGCACUUCUGGCUUGCAGGCCAUUUUAAUAUCCUGUUUGGCAUGGCCUUGAUUUGGCUGUUAUUAUUUGGACAUGUUGCAUGUUUCAUUCAUUGGGCAGUAAGAAAUUUCUCUUCGAUUUAUUUAUUUGAAAGCUGCCGAUAUUCUCAAUUAGUCUGUUUGUAGAGACGGCUAUAUUUCUUGCGUAAGUUUUGAUUUUCAAAGACUCUUUAGGAGGUACUCUCCUCGUGGGAAAUCUGUAUGAAAUGAUAUCUUUGAUGCAUACAGUUUAUAGUCAUAAUCAAGUACAAUAGACAUAUAUGGGAAGAAAGACAUUGAAAUUUUCCCCGAUGCUGAAAGAAAAUUGGGUGUGUCACAAAACACUGGUUUUAAGGCCGAAUUAAUGUCUAGAACAUUUAUAUUCAAUUUCUUUAAUUAGCUUUAACGAUUAUUCAAAAGUUAAAAGUAAAUUUGCACUUCAUGCAUUAUUUAUGACGUGUUUUGUUUGUGUAUUGAUAAACUGCUCGAAACUUUAAAAAGUUGUUUGUCUGGGUUCUUUAUUUAGGGGAACAUUGUAGUCGAAGCGCUUGCUUGAAAUCUCUUAUGUGUAAUUGAUGGUACAUUUAUGGACGAAAGGUAAACAGAGUUGUAGAGGCUUUAGAGUGGAUUUUAGACGACUGUUCAAAUAUGGAGAUGACUCUUUGUACAUACUAAAAUUGUUUUAACAAGUCGGGUCUGAAGAGAUAAAAAAUUGUUGUUAAGUAAAUUCACUAUAACAAGUAUGUAUAUUAUAAUAUAUGUAUAAAUCAAAAUGAUGAUGUCAUUCUAGAUUGACGAUCACUUUUACUAUAAUUACGGCUUUAACGAAAUAUUGUGACAAGGGAUUGUUUUUAGCACACCACUCUGAUCUCUGUGUUUAAAUAUUUCUUUUGUCAUUAGGGUGCAUGGAGGCAUUGUUAUUUAUGAUUAUAUGUUAUCUCCCCAUACAGCGCAAGAUGAUAAUUUUGACACAUUUUAUUUCCCUAUAACCAGCUGUAUCUCCAGAAACCCAGUGUCAAUGGUACUCCAGUCAAUUUGUAAUCAGUAAAUUAUCUCCCUUUAUUGGCAAGGUUCAUCUUUCCUAUCAGUUGUUUAUAACCUCCCCUUUUCUUGGUUAAUUUUAAAUGCAAACCUUUGUUAGCUCAUGGCAAAGCGAGCUUACACGCCCCAUGGUUCGUUUUUUUAUUGAUAAUCUGUUUAAAUAUUUGGGUAAAUGUUUAAAUUGGAACAUGUGUAAAUAUUUACACGGAUCAUAAAAUUGACUUAACCUUCUCUUGUGACUGCAUUAAUGACACGUAUCCACCAUUUUGACCACAGGUUUAACCGUUUUAUAAUAAUAGACCCUUUUGAAGAAUAAUUACUAGUAUUUAGUUAUAUAACGAUAACUUUGGGCAGACGGAACUUUGAGCAGACGAAAUAUCCUUCUGCAAAAUGAUAAAAUAUAUUGUAUUGUUUGUUAAUUAUUAUAUGAAAACUGAAGAAAAACAGACUUUACCCAGCUAGAUGUUUGUGAUUGACUUUACUUCAAUUAGGGAAAAGGACUUCAGUUACUCAUGAAUCUGCUAAAUUUAUGUAAUGGACUUGUCCGUAUUUAUGUAAUUCCUCAUGAAUCUGCUAAAUUUAUGUAAUGGACUUGUCCAUAUUUAGGUAAUUAAGGACUUCAGUUCCUCAUUACUCAUGAAUCUGCUAAAUUUAUGUAAUGGACUUGUCGGUAUUUAUGUAAUUCCUCAUGAAUCUGCUAAAUUUAUGUAAUGGACUUGUCCAUAUUUAGGUAAUUAAGGACUUCAGUUCCUCAUUACACCGCUAAAUAUAUGUAAUGGACUUGUCGGUAUUAAAAAUUUUAUGUAAUUACAGGACUUCAGUUCCUCAUUAAACUGCUAAAUUUAUGUAAUGGACUAAAAUGUCCAUAUUUAGGUAAUUAAGGACUUCAGUUCCUCAUUACACCGCUAAAUAUAUGUAAUGGACUUGUCCAUUAAAAAUUUUAUGUAAUUACAGGACUUCAGUUCCUCAUUACACUGCUAAAUUUAUGUAAUGGACUUGUCCAUAUUUAGGUAACUACAGGACUUCAGUUCCUCAUUACACUGCUAAAUUUAUGUAAUGGACUUGUCCAUAUUUAGGUAACUACAGGACUUCAGUUCCUCAUUACACUGCUAAAUUUAUGUAAUGGACUUGUCCAUAUUUAGGUAAUUAAGGUCCAUUGUUAUAUUUAGCGAAUUGAAUAUGACAAUCAUAAAAUUUAGCAGCUAUUACAAUAGAUAUAGAUAGUUUGUUUCGCAACUCCAAAGAUGUUUUAGCAUGUGGCAAUUGCCAAGGACUUUCUAUCACUUAAUUCGCAAAAUAUUAUUCACAGAAAUACUGAUUCUAUGAAUAUUUAUGAAUUAAUGUAAAUUCAAUUUCUUGAUAGUGUAAACCAUAAAAAUACAUUCAUUUGUGCCAAAAUAUAUCAUCAACAACAGUUACUAUGUAACAAUGUGGUUUUAGCAUUUUUGAGCAUGAAGUUUUAAGAAUAAAAAAUCAUGAAUUCAUAUGUAUUUAUAAUCUAAGUUCCAUGAGGGGGAUAAAUAUGGUGAAAUUUCACUUUUGUAAAUUAUCAUGACUUUUUUGUGGUUUUGAGCCUUGAUUUUUAUGACAGGUUAUUUUGUAUUUAGAGACGGUGUAUAACAGGUUAAAACUGUUCAAGUCUGUCUGAGGCUCAAAAGCUGUUACAGUAAAAACUCUGAAAACCGGACCCUCUGAAAACCGGAAUCCUCUGAAAACCAGACCAUUUUAAAAGUCCCAUAUUUUCUCCUUAUAUGUUCAAUGAAAAAAGAUCCUCUGAAUACCGGAACCUCUGAAUUCCGAAAACCGGACGAUUUCCAAUGGUUUCUAAUGCUAAACAUGCAUAAAAAAUCCUCUGAAAACCGGACAGCAAUUUUAAGUGUCAACUUUCUGUGUAUUUUAAUGUAGAUUAAACAUAAUCUCAACAGGUGACAUGUUCAAUUACCAAUUAAGGAUCACAUACUUUUAUCUAUGCAGGUGUGAAAACACUUGUCAGCUUGUGUUAAUUUCUUAUUGGCAAUUAAAUUAAAGCUCUUUCAUCGUAAUUGUGUCUGACCCUGUAUAGGCAUGAUUUUUCAAAAUGUUUUAAAUUUGUUCUUGUUUUUUUUUAAAUAUAAAAUGUCUAGAAUUAGUGGGAAACUUUUGUUAAACGAUUCAUGUUUUCCUUAAAAUUUUUACCUUGAAGUUAUCUUUGUUUUGAUAUUAAUAAUAUGCAAAAAUAGUAAUACUAAAUUCCAUUAAUUACAUAUUUUAAAAGCCAAUUAAGAAGAUAUAUUUCAGACAAGGUGUUGUUUUAAUUUCUGAUUUUCAAAAUUAUAUUUAUGGAUUUGCAUAAUAAAAUUACUUACGGUAUUUAUUGCAAAAAGAAAUUAAAAUAUGACUAAGACAAAAGGGUUGAAAAGUAAAUACAAAAUCAUUGAACAAAGUCAUUGUUCAAACACAUCAUAUUUAUCAAUAAAUGUAUAAAACCUCUGAAAACCGGAAUCCUCUGAAAACCGGACUUUUGGUCAAGUCUGGAUAGGGUCCGGUUUUCAGAGUUUUUACUGUAUUCAUAGGCAGAAUUAGACACAAUUUUUGAUAAAUUAUUUCAUAAAGAUCUCUUGUAGAUUAUAAUUACCGAUGAUUUUACUUUUCAGGCGUCAAGUAAAUUUAUAAAAGUGUUUCAAAUUUAAUUCUCUGUUCUGUCUCAAAUUAAUUUUGCAGAUGGCUCAAAAUGGAUUUUGACAAAAGACGGGAUUUAAUUUGUCAACAUUUAUUUUAAUAUAAGAAUAAUAGUAAGAAUAAACAAUUCUAUGGUGUCUUCUAAAUAUGUAUCCUUAAAUAAGAAUAUAUUUAAUUUUAAGGUAAACAUUUAUGGUAACAAAAUUCUCAUAUCUCUCCAGACAUAUUUCCUUUAAAGACCCACCUUGACUUGAUUUUCUAUUAUUGUGUGAUAACCCACCAUCAGUGUGUUUAUCAUACAGAUAUGAUGACAUAACCAGGGCUUUCCUCUUGUUAAGUUUGAGGUUGUACAAUUAGUCAAGUCGUUAACUUGAGGAGAAGUUGGUAGUUACUGGUUAGUUGACCAGGAAAGCUGGUUAGGUCCACCGAACAAAAAAUGGGUCAAAAUUGGCAUUUAAAAAAAUAAUAAAAAAAUUAAACAUAAGAAGUUUGGGGUUAAUUAUUGAUGGAGGCUGAAAUCAGGUUUUACUUUAAUUAACCUAAUAAUAUAGAGUGUUAAUAUUAAUGAAAACUUGAGCCAUAUUUUAAUUGUAGUUAUAGAGAAAAUUUAUUGACAUCAUUAUCACAGGGUUAAAAUAGUGUUUAAAUCUGAGUGUUUAGUAUAUUAUACUUAACAGUGGUACAUAAUUAUUUAUUUGGAAAAAAUGCUCAUUUUAUUAAAUUUUAAAUUUUUGACAGUCCCACUCAAGCUCAGCGAUAUUUGUUUAGAAAAAAAUUUAUGUAGGAAGUAGUGUUUGGUCUUUAAAUGUAAGUAAACAUUAAAAGAUUGUACCAUGUGUGAGUAGUGAUAAAGGCAUGACAGUCCCCCACUUUGUUCCGAGUUUAAUACCAAUUUAGGCAAGAUAACGCUUGAUAAAUGGAACAGCCAGUAGAUGAAAUAUUUGCCGUUUAUGACCCGUUGUCAAUCAGACCUUUUAGCCGUCUAUUGAUCAAAUUUGACAAGCUUAAUUCCAGUUUAUUUUAUAAAAUUUGAUAAAUGCGUGCAAAGUUUUUGCACCUCUCUGACUAAUGCAGAACUUUUUCUUGUUUAUUUUUGAAGUCUGAUAUUUACUGUGCUGUUAUUUCAUUGUCAAUAUAAACAUUAAACAAAGCUUGUCAAUAAAAGCUUUGUAUCUAAUAGCAACUGAUAAAUAUAAUAUUAUGUUAAAUAGAAAUUUAGAUAAUAAAAUUAAUACUAUUAUUCUUGCUGAAUUAAAUAGAUAUAUGGGAAAUUCUCAAAUACAUGUAGUCUUGAAAAUUUAACUCUUGUUUUAUCGUUUUAUAGUGUUAUUAUGACCUCUUAAUUUGACAUUGUAAUAGAUUUAACAUAAAAUUUUUGGAAGAAAUUUGGAAGAAAUUUGACAUAAAUAUAGUUAUAGCAUCGAUAAAAAUCGAAGGUUAUUUAAUUAUAAAUAAUUAUGAAAUUGAGAAACUUGACAGAUAUAUUACAUUGAUAAUUUAAAAGAUAUUUGACAUAAAAUUUAAAAUAUUGAUAAUUUGACAUAAAAUAUAUAACAUUGAUAAUUUGACAUAAAGUAUAAAAUAUUGAUAAUUUGACAUAAAGAUAUAACAUAGAUAAUUUGAGGGGAAACUAUGACAUUAUUAUAACAUGAAAAUUUGAGAUAGAUAUAGAAUAAUGAUAAUUUGAAAGAAAUUUGACAUAAAUAUAUAUUUUACAUUGAUAAUUUGAAGAAAAAAACAAGAACAUUAAGAUAUGAAAUUGAUGCUUCAAAUGACAUCUCCUCAUAAACCACUAAGCCAAUUUCAUCCAAACUUCACAGAAAUCUUCCUUUGGUGGUCACCUUUAAAAAUUGUUCAAAGAAUUUAAUUCCAUGCAGAACUCUGGUUGCCAUGGCAAACGAAAGAAAAAAACUUUAAACAUCUUUUUUUAAGGAACCAGAAGAGCUAGAGCUUAGAUAUUUGGCAUGAAACAUUUUCUAAUGAGUGUCUACCAAGUUUGUUCAAAUAAAAGCCCUGGGGUCAAAAUUGGCCCCGCCCCAGGGGGUCAUUGAUUUUCCCUAUAUGCAUAUAGUAAAAACUUAAAAAUCUUCUUUUAAAGAACCCAAAGAGCUAGAGCUAAGAUAUUUAGCAUGAAACAUCUUCUAGUGAGUGUCUACCAAGUUUGUUCAAAUAAAAGCCCUGGAAUCAAAAUUGGCCCCGCACCAGGGGGGUCAAUGAUUUUCCCUAUAUGCAUAUAGUAAAAACUUAAAAAAUCUUCUUUUAAAGAACUCAAAGAGCUAGAGCUAAGAUAUUUAGCAUGAAACAUGUU